UUUUUUUCAGUUUUUUUAACUACUAAUGGCGCAUUCUUACCAGGUGCGCCAUUGGUAACCCUGGUUACUAAUGGCACAUUCUUUCUAGGUGCGCAAUUGGUAACCUGGAGGAGUAGAUAUUUUUGACAGCCCACUUCACACUCACUUUCCCCCCACUUCAUUCUCUCCACCACUUCACACUCACUAGUCUCGGCUGCCUACUCCUCCUCACCUCAUCUGCACCAUAUAUUCAC
rnacentral:lncRNA from 1 species